rnacentral:rRNA from 1 species
UGGGGAAUAUUGGACAAUGGGCGCAAGCCUGAUCCAGCAAUGCCGCGUGAGUGAUGAAGGCCUUAGGGUUGUAAAGCUCUUUCGCACGCGACGAUGAUGACGGUAGCGUGAGAAGAAGCCCCGGCUAACUUCGUGCCAGCAGCCGCGGUAAUACGAAGGGGGCUAGCGUUGUUCGGAAUUACUGGGCGUAAAGGGCGCGUAGGCGGCCUGUUUAGUCAGAAGUGAAAGCCCCAGGGCUCAACCUGGGAAUAGCUUUUGAUACUGGCAGGCUUGAGUUCCGGAGAGGAUGGUGGAAUUCCCAGUGUAGAGGUGAAAUUCGUAGAUAUUGGGAAGAACACCGGUGGCGAAGGCGGCCAUCUGGACGGACACUGACGCUGAGGCGCGAAAGCGUGGGGAGCAAACAGGAUUAGAUACCCUGUAGUCCACGCCGUAAACGAUGAAUGCUAGACGUCGGGGUGCAUGCACUUCGGUGUCGCCGCUAACGCAUUAAGCAUUCCGCCUGGGGAGUACGGCCGCAAGGUUAAAACUCAAAUGAAUUGACGGGGUCAU